UUAUUACUCCCUUUAUUCGGAAUUACUUGUCUCGGAUAUGGAUGUAUGUAGAACUAAAAUACAUCUAGAUACAUCCAUUUUUGCGACAAGUAAUUCCGAACGGAGGAAGUACCAC
rfam:Triticum aestivum genome assembly, contig: Triticum_aestivum_CS42_TGACv1_scaffold_195671_3AL